AUUGAACGCUGGCGGCAGGCCUAACACAUGCAAGUCGAACGAGUGGCGGACGGGCGAGCAAUGUAUUAGCACAUGGCUGAUGGAGGGGGAUGACUACUGUAAACGGUAGCUAAUACCGCAUCCCAUCGGAUGUGCUCAGAUGGGAUUAGCUAGUGGGGGGGGUAAAGGCUCACGUAGGCGACGAUCCCUACCUGGUCUGAGAGGAUGACCGGCCACACUGGAACUGAGACACGGUCCAGACUCCUACGGGAGGCAGCAGUGGGGAAUAUUGGACAAUGGGCGAAAGCCUGAUGCAGCCAUGCCGCGUGUAUGAAGAAGGCCUUCGGGUUGUAAAGUACUUUCAUCGGAGAGGCGUUACCCGCACAAGAAGCAACGGCUAACUCCGUGCCAGCCGCCGCGGUAAUAC
rnacentral:rRNA from 1 species